CAAUAAGCAAAAUAAGGGCGUAUGGGGGAUGCCUUGGCUCUCAGAGGCGAUGAAAGGCGUGAUAAGCUGCGAAAAGCUACGGGGAUUGGCACACACGAUACGAUCCGUAGAUACCUGAAUGGGGCAACCCACUAUGUUGAAGACAUAGUACACCGAUAGGUGGGCAAACCCGCUGAACUGAAACAUCUAAGUAGGCGGAGGAGAAGAAAACAAAAGUGAUUCCGUAAGUAGUGGCGAGCGAACGCGGAUUAGCCCAAACCAAUGUUGUUACGGCAAUGUUGGGGUUGUAGGACCACGACAUUUUAUGUACAAAGAAUUAGAAUCUACUGGAAAGUAGAGCCAAAGAAGGUGAUAGCCCUGUAUAAGUAAUGAGUAUAAUAGAUAGUGGUAUCCUGAGUAGGGCGGGACACGAGAAAUCCUGUCUGAAUUUGGCGGGACCAUCCGCUAAGGCUAAAUACUCCUGAGAGACCGAUAGUGAACCAGUACCGUGAGGGAAAGGUGAAAAGAACCGUGAAUAACGGAGUGAAAUAGAUCCUGAAACCAUACGCUUACAAGCGGUCGGAGCCCCUUCGUGGGGUGACGGCGUGCCUUUUGCAUAAUGAGCCUACGAGUUAACGUUGCUGGCAAGGAUAAGUGGUUAAGCCACGGAUCCGUAGCGAAAGCGAGUCUGAAUAGGGCGCUUUAGUCAGUAGUGUUAGACGCGAAACCGUGUGAUCUACCCAUGGGCAGGUUGAAGCUGUGGUAACACAUAGUGGAGGACCGAACCGGUUGACGUUGAAAAGUCUUCGGAUGACCUGUGGGUAGGGGUGAAAGGCCAAUCAAACUCGGAAAUAGCUCGUACUCCCCGAAAUGCAUUUAGGUGCAGCGUUAGUUAUAAAGUUAUAUAGAGGUAGAGCUACUGAUUGGAUGCGGGGGCUUCACCGCCUACCAAUUCCUGACAAACUCCGAAUGCUAUAUAAUGUUCACUAACAGUGAGGGCUUGGGUGCUAAGGUCCAAGUCCGAGAGGGAAAGAACCCAGACCAUCAGCUAAGGUCCCCAAAUAUAUACUAAGUUGAAAGAACGAGGUUUGUCUGCCCAGACAGCUAGGAUGUUGGCUUGGAAGCAGCCAUUCAUUUAAAGAGUGCGUAACAGCUCACUAGUCGAGCGGACGAGCAUGGAUAAUAAUCGGGCAUAAGUAUAUUACCGAAGCUAUGGAUUACCUAUUUAUUU
rnacentral:rRNA from 1 species